rnacentral:rRNA from 1 species
UUUAGUUGCCAUCAUUCAGUUGGGCACUCUAGAGGGACUGCCGGUGUCAAACCGGAGGAAGGUGGGAUGACGUCAAGUCCUCAUGGCCUUUAUGCCCAGGGCUACACACGUGCUACAAUGGGCGGUACAAAGAGCAGCGAGCUCGCGAGAGUAAGCAAAUCUCAAAAAGCCGUCCUCAGUUCGGAUUGGAGUCUGCAACUCGACUCCAUGAAGUUGGAAUCGCUAGUAAUCGCGGAUCAGCAUGCCCGCGGUCCGAAUACGUUCCGGCCUU